GAUCUCAAAUCAAAGUAAGACUACCCGCUGAACUUAA
rnacentral:rRNA from 1 species